UGGGCUCUGGCCCCUCAGGUGACCUCGUCAGGUAUUUCCAGAGAUAAUCAGAAGAGAAUCGGUAGGAGCGGUGUCCUUAUAAAAAGGGUCACAUGGGCACAGGGACAGGCAGGCACGCAGACCGACGCCUGCGAAGGCUGGGGCCAGGCUGCUUCCUGCCAAGGAGCCCCAGAAGCAGGGAGGCGGGCUUGCUGUCCCCUGGAGCCCUCAGAGGGAGCAGGGCCUGUGACAGAAAACAACCUCAAGACGGCCAGCCUCGAACCAGAAUAAGCCCCUCAUUGGCAUACUUUGUCUUGGCAGCCAAGCAAAAUAAAAAAUUGUGACCUUGUUUUACACACCAGGAAACAGGCCUGGGGAGAUGCAGGGACAUCCCUGCAGCCCGCAGGCCAGGAGGGGGCAGGUGAGGCCAGGUGGCCCGCGGGGUCCAGCCAUGCUGGGCUCCCUGGCUUGCCCCAGCGCUCACUGCUGCUUCUGCCCCAGGGCCUUUGCUCUGCCUGAAGGGCUCCCCUCCCCCACCCUGCCAGUCUUUGCUCAAGUCCUGACUGUCACCCUGUCUGAGGCAGUCUCCCCGUCUCGGUCUCCGCCGCACAACAGAAAGCCCUUGUCUUGACAGGCAGGCUGUGCACUGAGUGUGGCUCCGAUCGGAACAAGAGCGUGAAGACCUUUCAUCUGUCCCACCCCUGUGUCCUGAUGCCCCAGCCAGGUAGAUAGGAGAGCCAAGGAUGGCCAUGCUGGCCCUUUGCACGCCCUCUCGACUCAGGCCAGUGUCUGGAAGUGAGGUCUCUGUUGUUUGGAGGGUUCAGGACCCGGGUUAGCUGUCUCCUGGAAGGGCCUUUGACAUGCCCAGAAGAGGCCUCUGUGCUUGUUGCCAGAUGCAUCUGAGCCCUGAGUCCCUGCUGGGGUCUCUCGUGCCCCUUCCCCGAUGAGCUGCUUGUCCUCCAGCCCCAGGAUGGCCGAGCGGAGGUGUGCAGGCACAGACACGUCUGUGAGCACACAGCCAGCUAGGGACCUCGGAGACCUCAGGUCUAGUCCUGUUGGGCCUGGGCGCCUGGCUCCUGUCUGCAGAGACACCCCCCCCCCCACCCGCACCGGGUCUUUUGAUCUCCUGUGCUGGCAGAGACCCCCUCAAGUGAGCCAGGCUGAGGUGGAAACCCAGAAGCCCAGAGGGAAAGGUUUCCUCCCCCAGCCUGUGCUGGAGUUCCAGCUUCCAGGCAUUGAUCUCUGUGACUCCGAUGCUGGAGCCAGCUGA
rnacentral:lncRNA from 1 species